rnacentral:rRNA from 1 species
GACGAACGCUGGCGGCGUGCUUAACACAUGCAAGUCGAACGGAAAGGCCCUGCUUUUGUGGGGUGCUCGAGUGGCGAACGGGUGAGUAACACGUGAGUAACCUGCCCUUGACUUUGGGAUAACUUCAGGAAACUGGGGCUAAUACCGGAUAGGAGCUCCUGCUGCAUGGUGGGGGUUGGAAAGUUUCGGCGGUUGGGGAUGGACUCGCGGCUUAUCAGCUUGUUGGUGGGGUAGUGGCUUACCAAGGCUUUGACGGGUAGCCGGCCUGAGAGGGUGACCGGCCACAUUGGGACUGAGAUACGGCCCAGACUCCUACGGGAGGCAGCAGUGGGGAAUAUUGCACAAUGGGCGGAAGCCUGAUGCAGCAACGCCGCGUGCGGGAUGACGGCCUUCGGGUUGUAAACCGCUUUCGCCUGUGACGAAGCGUGAGUGACGGUAAUGGGUAAAGAAGCACCGGCUAACUACGUGCCAGCAGCCGCGGUGAUACGUAGGGUGCGAGCGUUGUCCGGAUUUAUUGGGCGUAAAGGGCUCGUAGGUGGUUGAUCGCGUCGGAAGUGUAAUCUUGGGGCUUAACCCUGAGCGUGCUUUCGAUACGGGUUGACUUGAGGAAGGUAGGGGAGAAUGGAAUUCCUGGUGGAGCGGUGGAAUGCGCAGAUAUCAGGAGGAACACCAGUGGCGAAGGCGGUUCUCUGGGCCUUUCCUGACGCUGAGGAGCGAAAGCGUGGGGAGCGAACAGGCUUAGAUACCCUGGUAGUCCACGCUGUAAACGGUGGGUACUAGGUGUGGGGUCCAUUCCACGGGUUCCGUGCCGUAGCUAACGCUUUAAGUACCCCGCCUGGGGAGUACGGCCGCAUGGCUAAAACUCAAAGGAAUUGACGGGGCCCCGCACAAGCGGCGGAGCAUGCGGAUUAAUUCGAUGCAACGCGUAGAACCUUACCUGGGUUUGACAUGGAUCGGGAGUGCUCAGAGAUGGGUGUGCCUCUUUUGGGGUCGGUUCACAGGUGGUGCAUGGCUGUCGUCAGCUCGUGUCGUGAGAUGUUGGGUUAAGUCCCGCAACGAGCGCAACCCUUGUUCACUGUUGCCAGCACGUUAUGGUGGGGACUCAGUGGAGACCGCCGGGGUCAACUCGGAGGAAGGUGGGGAUGACGUCAAGUCAUCAUGCCCCUUAUGUCCAGGGCUUCACGCAUGCUACAAUGGCUGGUACAGAGAGUGGCGAGCCUGUGAGGGUGAGCGAAUCUCGGAAAGCCGGUCUCAGUUCGGAUUGGGGUCUGCAACUCGACCUCAUGAAGUCGGAGUCGCUAGUAAUCGCAGAUCAGCAACGCUGCGGUGAAUACGUUCCCGGGGCUUGUACACACCGCCCGU